GUGGGGAAUAUUGGACAAUGGGCGAAAGCCUGAUCCAGCCAUGCCGCGUGUGUGAAGAAGGUCUUCGGAUUGUAAAGUACUUUAAGUUGGGAGGAAGGGAAGUAACCUAAUACGUUAUUGUUUUGACGUUACCGACAGAAUAAGCACCGGCUAACUUCGUGCCAGCAGCCGCGGUAAUACGAAGGGUGCAAGCGUUAAUCGGAAUUACUGGGCGUAAAGCGCGCGUAGGUGGUUCAGUAAGUUGGAAGUGAAAUCCCCGGGCUCAACCUGGGAACUGCUUUCAAAACUGCUGAGCUAGAGUACGGUAGAGGGUGGUGGAAUUUCCUGUGUAGCGGUGAAAUGCGUAGAUAUAGGAAGGAACACCAGUGGCGAAGGCGACCACCUGGACUGAUACUGACACUGAGGUGCGAAAGCGUGGGGAGCAAACAGGAUUAGAUACCCCGGUAGUCC
rnacentral:rRNA from 1 species